rnacentral:rRNA from 1 species
GAAUCUUCCGAAAUGGACGAAAGUCUGACGGAGAAACGCCGCGCGAGUGAUGAAGGUUUUCGGUGCGUAAAGCCCUGUUGCCAGGGAAGAACGCUUGGGAGAGUAACUGCUCUCAAGGUGACGGUACCUGAGGAGAAAGCCCCGGCUACCUACGUGCCAGCAGCCGCGGUGAUACGUAGGGGGCAACAGUUGUCAGGAAUUAUUGGGCGGAAAGCGCGCGCAGGCGGUUCAUUAAGUCUGGUGUUUAAGGCUAGGGCUCAACCCUGGUUCGCACUGGAAACUGUUGAACUUGAGUGCAGAAGAGGAAAGUGGAAUUCCACGUGGAGCGGUGAAAUGCGUAGAGAUGUGGGGGAACACCAGUGGCGAAGGCGACUUUCUGGGCUGUAACUGACGCUGAGGCGCGAAAGCGUGGGGAGCAAACA